AUUUUUCACGAGAAAGCACCUGUUGGAGAGGAGAGCAACGGGCGAGCCACACAUUUAUAAAACCAUAACAUUUCUACUUUGAUUUUUUACCAGAACUGAGCGCCAAUCAGACAGGACACCCAGGACUCCUCAAGACAGAAAUUCCCAAGUUACCAGGACUGAGCGCCAAUCAGACAGGACACCCAGGACUCCUCAAGACAGAAAUUCACAAGUUACCAGGACUGAGCGCCAAUCAGCCAGGACACCCAGGACUCCUCAAGACAGAAGUUCCCAAGUUACCAGAACUGAGCGCCAAUCAGCCAGGACACCCAGGACUCCUCAAGUUACCAGGACUGAGCGCCAAUCAGCCAGGACACCCAGGACUCCUCAAGACAGAAGUUCCCAAGGACUGAACGGCAAUCAGCCAGGACACCCAGGACUCCCCAAGAAAAGCAAGACAAGUUCCCAAUGACAGACAAAAGAUUCCAAAGAAAAGUGUUGACACAGCUUAUAGAAAUAAAAGAAGAACUGAGAAGAAUUGGUAAAAAUGUGGAACCAGACACUGUGUUCCACCUGUCUACCUUGGCUACUGAGGAGGAUUUCAAAUACCUAGAAAGGCAGUUGGAAAGUGAGAAUACCCGGGCAGCAAUGGUGGCAAAGUUGUGCAAAAUAGGAGGAAAAAACCUCAAAGACAGUGCCAGAAGAAUGCUGGACAGGUAAAGCCUACCAAAUGUGCAACAUUAAUCAAAUAUUCUGGUGUCAAUACUGAUCAAGUCUUUCAUGUGGUCACAACGUAAAUAAGAGAUUUAACACAUCCUUUAACGUUAAUUUUGAAAUGUAAGUGCAAAUGUCAGACUGACAUUUUGAAAUGUCAGUCUUUAACCACAAUUGUUAA